UUUCUGACCUAUCAGCUUUCGACGGUAGGGUAUUGGCCUACCGUGGCAGUGACGGGUAACGGGGAAUUAGGGUUCGAUUCCGGAGAGGGAGCCUGAGAAACGGCUACCACAUCUAAGGAAGGCAGCAGGCGCGCAAAUUACCCAAUGAAAACAGUUUCGAGGUAGUGACGAGAAAUAACAAUACGAGGCAUUAUGUGCUUUGUAAUUGGAAUGAUGGGAAUGUAAAACCCUCUCAGAGUAACAAUUGGAGGGCAAGUCUGGUGCCAGCAGCCGCGGUAAUUCCAGCUCCAAUAGUGUAUAUUAGAGUUGUUGCAGUUAAAAAGCUCGUAGUUGGAUUUCUGCCGCGAUUGGUUCUGCACCGCCCUAAAAAGCGGCGCGGGUAUCGAUUGCGGUUUUUUCCAGUACCCUCUAACCGCCUUAACUGUGCGGCGAGGGAUUUCUGGAACUUUUACUUUGAGAAAAAUAGAGUGUUUCAAGCAGGCUUGUCGCCCUGAAUACUGCAGCAUGGAAUAAUAAAAUAGGACCUUGGUUCUAUUUUGUUGGCUUCUAGGACCGAGGUAAUGAUUAAUAGGGACAGUUGGGGGCAUUCGUAUUUAACUGUCAGAGGUGAAAUUCUUAGAUUUGA
rnacentral:rRNA from 1 species